rnacentral:lncRNA from 1 species
AGCAAAAAGAGAAGAUUGGCAACAGGUAUUAGCUCAGGGCCAAUCUUCCUCACACACACACACACACACACACACACAAAUGUAUGGCAGUUCCUCAAAAAAUUAAAAAUAGAACUACCAUAUGAUCCAGCAAUUCCACAUGAUAUUGCUUUAAAAAGACUGAUGCACAUAUUACCUGCAGGCAAGUAGUGGCACUUGUUCAAAGUUAAUUCCCUUUCCUUACUUUUGUCUGAUGGAAAUGAAUAUCCAGCCUAUUGUCAGCAACAAAGAUUUGCUUAAUUUCAGGUGGUUGUGACGGUAUACUCCGUAUCUACAGGAAAGGGUUUAAGACCACUGGCACACCUAUCCAUGGGAGUGUACCCAGGGGUAAGGAGAACAAAUAUGUAUUAUUUGGUUGGAGGUGAGAGUGGAUGGACACAACCAGCAGUGCCUCUGCAUCUGAAAAAUAAUUUUAGGGACCCUGCUUACCUUAGAUCAUAUAAAUUAUGCAUAUUGUUCUGUAAUAUAUCCAGGUUUACUUUGAUAUUAAAACAGUGCUUAAAACAGUACCUGGCAUGUAGUGAGGGCUCAAUAAAUAUUGUCGAGCAACUGAAUUAAUUUUUGGAUGACAAAUAAGGUUUUAAAGUAUUUGCCGCCAUCAGGUAAAAUUGAUGUUCCAGAAAGAUGCGUUAUACUUAACUGUGGCCUCCUGUAUCUUGCUGCAGAAUCCCGCACCCCCACCCGAGGAACAUGAAGCCCGCAGAGAUUCCUCCUUCUAUUCUACAGCUGAGAAAUGCUUUUCACGUCAAAAUUCUCGGCUCAGCUGGAGACUGGACUGCAGAAGCUUUAUGAAGCCUCAGACUGCGGGGACCCACUCAGGUAUUCUGUUAAUAAAAACAAGAAUGAGAGCAACAAGUCCAAUGCAUGUGUGUUUUUAUUUUUCUUGGAGUGUUUUUAUAAUAUAUGUGUCAACAGAAAAUAGAUCCCCUCUUUUUUGGGAGGAAUGUUGGCUCAUAUUGUACAAAUUAAUAUUACCAUCUUGACUGAUCCUUUGGUAACAGGAUACCAGUGUGAAUAGACAAGAGGGGAUAGAAAAAUUAGGAGAGAAUUUAA